UACGUAGGUGGCGAGCGUUGUCCGGAUUUACUGGGCGUAAAGAGCGCGCAGGCGGUCGUUCAAGUCGCGUGUGAAAGCCCCCGGCUCAACUGGGGAGGGUCACGCGAUACUGAUCGACUCGAAGGCAGGAGAGGGAAGUGGAAUUCCCGGUGUAGUGGUGAAAUGCGUAGAGAUAUGGAGGAACACCAGUGGCGAAGGCGACUUUCUGGUCUGUAACUGACACUGAGACGCGAAAGCGUGGGGAGCAAACAGG
rnacentral:rRNA from 1 species